GGGGAAUCUUGCACAAUGGCGGCAACCCUGAUGCAGCGACGCCGCGUGAGCGAUGAAGCCCUUCGGGGCGUAAAGCUCUUUCGACCGGAACGAUAAUGACGGUACCGGGAGAAGAAGCUGCGGCUAACUACGUGCCAGCAGCCGCGGUAAUACGUAGGCAGCAAGCGUUGUUCGGAGUUACUGGGCGUAAAGAGUGCGUAGGCGGUUUUCUAAGUUCGGUGUGAAAUCUCCCGGCUUAACUGGGAGGGUGCGCCGAAGACUGGGAAGCUGGAGUGUGGGAAAGGCAGGCGGAAUUCCUGGUGUAGCGGUGAAAUGCGUAGAUAUCAGGAGGAACACCGGCGGUGUAGACGGCUUGCUAGACCAUAACUGACGCUGAGGCACGAAAGCGUGGGUAGCAAACA
rnacentral:rRNA from 1 species